rnacentral:rRNA from 1 species
GACGAACGCUGGCGGCGUGCUUAACACAUGCAAGUCGAACGGAAAGGCCCUGCUUGCAGGGUACUCGAGUGGCGAACGGGUGAGUAACACGUGGGUGAUCUGCCCUGCACUUCGGGAUAAGCCUGGGAAACUGGGUCUAAUACCGGAUAGGAGCCAUUUUUAGUGUGAUGGUUGGAAAGUUUUUUCGGUGUAGGAUGAGCUCGCGGCCUAUCAGCUUGUUGGUGGGGUAAUGGCCUACCAAGGCGGCGACGGGUAGCCGGCCUGAGAGGGUGGACGGCCACAUUGGGACUUAGGGACGGCCCAGGCACCUACGGGAGGCAGCAGGGGGGAAUUCUGCACAAGGGGCGCCAGCCUGGUGCAGAAGCGCCGCGGGGGGGAAAGCGGCCUUCGGGUUGUAAACUCCUUUCGCUAGGGACGAAGCUUUUUGUGACGGUACCUAGAUAAGAAGCACCGGCUAACUACGUG